rnacentral:rRNA from 1 species
ACGUAGGGAGCAAGCGUUGUCCGGAAUUACUGGGCGUAAAGGGUGCGUAGGCGGCAUGUUAAGUUAGAUGUCAAAUACCCGGGCUUAACCCGGGGACGCAUGUAAAACUGGCGUGCUUGAGUGCAGGUGGGGAAAGCAGAAUUCCUAGUGUAGCGGUGGAAUGCGUAGAGAUCAGGAGGAACACCGAUGGCGAAGGCAGCUUUCUGGGCUGUCAUUGACGCUCAACUGCGAAGGUGUGGGUAUCAAACAG